UUAUGGUUGGAGAAAGCAGAUGUGAGAUGAAGGACUCCCAUAGUAAUCUCUCAGGAAGCAUGUUGGGCUCCUUCUCCUAAAGGGACAAAUUUUCAUAGAAAAAUGCGUUGUUCAAAAAUUUCUUCCAAAAGCUGCUCAAAACUAUCACUGGAAUGUGUGUCACAAACUAUAUCAAUAUUCCAGCAUUUUUCAAAUAUCGUGGCAUAUUUCAGCUACAAAAAUCACCAAGUCUGCCAUUUCUCAGAAACAAGUCUGCGUGACGCUGUAGCAGACUCAAAAGCAUCCAAUCCGUAUCCCAAGGGCACCGCACGCAGGACUGUGAAGCGCACAGAGGUGAUGGGUUGAACCUGAAAGGGAUAAAUGUUAUUUCUGCUGCGCUACGAUGCAGUGUAAGCGAGCGGCGACGGCAAAGUAAUAAACUAUUCACAGGGCUCCGAUCAGUUACUGUGUAAUGAUGCACGAGAAAGGUCAGCAUCCAUUCCGAGAGUCUUAAAAAAGAAGUUCUAAACGCAAGAUCAAUUACAUUGGUUAACACAUCGGAACUAAAGAUCAGUCACCCGGGGCACCGCGGGUACCGCCGCGGGGCAGCCCCCGCCGCCAACCCGCUGCGGGAGCGUCCUCAAGCCUUCGCCGCUUGAGGCCACCUGCAACAAAACGUGCCACUUCUGCCCAGUUGGCCAUGCCCCUUUCACAUCAUGGCUAACACAACGUCGAAGGGAAUUUUCACGCCGAAGCGCCCUCAACAAUCUUUCACUGUCACUUGACGGGAAGCCGGCGCUCCAGCGAGGGGGGGCGCGCCCGGCGGUUGCAGCCCCUUCCCCACGGCAGCUCGGGGGUCUCGGUCCCGCUGCGCCCCGCCAGCCGCGGGGCCCCGCCGCCCUCCUCGCUGCCGCGGUACCUGUUGUGGCGCCGCGCCCUCGGUAUCCCCCCGCUCCCUCAGCAGCCCGAGGCGGGGCGCGGCCCGGCCGGGCCCGGGCGGCCGGCGCGGGCAGAGGGGCGCCCCGGGGCCGCGGCGCUCCGCUCGGCGCAUGCGUCCCGCUCUCGGGAGUUGGUUCUCCUCGCCGGUCCGCACCAAGUUCCAAUCCGCGGCUCGUCCCCCCGAGAGGCGGCGGCCGGGAUGGGGGCGGCUGCCAGACGGGCCGGCCCGCGGGCGCUGCUGCUGCCGCUGGCGCUGGCCGUGGCGUGCGCGGCGCGCAGCGCCGACGGACCUAGCAACAUGUCCUACGUGAAGGAGACUGUGGACAGGCUGCUCCAAGGCUACGACAUCCGCCUCCGCCCGGACUUCGGAGGUCCGCCCGUGGAUGUGGGCAUGAGGAUAGAGAUCGCCAGCAUCGACGUGGUCUCGGAAGUCAACAUGGACUACACCUUGACCAUGUACUUUCAGCAGUCCUGGAGGGAUAAAAGGCUCUCUUAUUCUGGAAUACCUUUGAACUUAACUCUGGACAACAGAGUGGCUGACCAGCUCUGGGUACCGGACACGUAUUUCCAAAAUGACAAGAAAUCAUUUGUCCAUGGGGUGACAGUGAAAAACCGAAUGAUUCGACUCCAUCCAGAUGGGACAGUCCUUUAUGGCCUACGGAUCACAACAACAGCUGCUUGCAUGAUGGAUCUACGCAGAUAUCCUCUGGAUGAACAAAACUGCACACUAGAAAUUGAAAGCUAUGGAUACACUACUGAUGAUAUUGAAUUCUACUGGAAUGGAGGAGAGUCAGCAGUAACAGGAGUUAAUAACAUCGAGCUCCCACAAUUUUCUAUUGUGGAUUACAAGAUGGUAUCAAAGAGAGUGGAAUUUACAACAGGAGCAUAUCCUCGACUAUCACUUAGCUUCCGGCUUAAAAGAAAUAUUGGAUACUUCAUUUUGCAAACCUAUAUGCCUUCCACGCUGAUCACAAUUCUGUCAUGGGUGUCUUUUUGGAUCAAUUAUGAUGCCUCUGCAGCCAGAGUUGCUCUAGGAAUCACGACCGUGCUGACCAUGACCACCAUCAGCACCCACCUCAGGGAGACCUUGCCAAAGAUUCCCUAUGUCAAGGCAAUAGACAUUUACCUGAUGGGAUGCUUUGUGUUUGUGUUCCUGGCCUUGCUGGAAUAUGCCUUUGUAAACUACAUAUUCUUUGGGAAAGGACCUCAACGUCAAAAAAAGACAGCAGGCAGAGCAGGACAUGCUACAGGAGAGAAGAGCAGACUGGAAACAAAUAGAGUCCAGAGCACAGGAGAUAAGCCACCCCAGUAUGGAUUGUCGUGCACAGACACUGUCUAUCCAUUUCUAUGGAAAUAUGGAAGGGAAAAAAACAACAUAACCCACAAAUUCUGACCAGCUACCUCAACAGCUCCUGAGAUAACCCCGCCUAGGUGAGAAGCAGCACAGCAAGGAUUCAUGAUGAAGAGGAAAUCAAGACUUCUUCAGAGGUCAGCCUUGGCUACAUGUGCCCCAGUGCACUGAACUGAGUAAAGGAUAAGAGUGCAGAUAAAGAAGAGUGCACAUGACCAGAGCAGUGGAACACAGCAAGGUUAUGUGACCUCCAGUGAAACAGCUCCCCGCCCCUCUCCAUCAUUUUUUGAGAUUUUUCACUGGUAUUAUGAUGCCUGCACUAGAGCAGGGGAAAGUCAGUUUUUGAGCAUAAAAGAAGUACAGUUGUAAGUAUGUAUAGCUACAGGACAUUUUUUCCCUUUUACUCUUGACCCACACCACUUAUCCAUACAGGCACCUGUAACUAUUAGAAGAUAUGUAACAGUGCUUCAUCUCUUUGUGCCAGGUGAAGACAUUGAUCAUUCCCAUCUGACAUACAACUCCAAAGACUAAAAGGGUUCAAAUUCCUCCACCAGAUAACACAAGCUUUAGAUGCGUGAGCAACACUCAGCAAACUGACCACAAUAUGAGCAGUUUAGAGAAGAUCAGAUGAAAAAUGAAACAGAACUGCUGAUUCAUAUGUGGCUGUUCCAUACUCUACAGACUGAAGAAGAUGGAAAUAAAGUCUCUCUACCUUCACAAG